UACAGUGACUGACUAACAAUGGCUGUAAUGUAUGGCCGUCAAGAGAGAGCAGCUCCCUUCAGCCCCAGUAUACCGAGGCUCAGGCCUGGGAUGUGCCUGGGAUACGUGGAGUGAGAUCUUAGUUGCUCUACUGUAAGGGGAGGACGAUGUCUUCCUGACCCCAGCUGGUGAUCAGUGGAAGCCCUGAAGCAUGAGGAUGAAUGACACUCUGAACUUGUACCAUAAUGAGAAUAAUUGCAGAAGCUAUUCCUAUUCAUACCACUGUCUCCUUCCAUCUUCAUUGGAAUUUAGUAAACCAUAUCACUAAAUGUGGACAAAGGAGAAUAGACCAGUCACUUUGCCUGGCUGGGCACCUAGGUUGAAGACCAACAUACUUCCCAACACUCCCAUCCAACCCAGGACAAUUCUGCAAUCCAUGUACAGGGGGACAUCACAGAUGGAACAUGAGGAAUCAGGCCAGAGACCACAAAGGAUAUCAGACUACAACCAGGAUCCUAGGCAUGGGUAGCAGGAGGAACAAGGGACUGGCUCUUCACAUGAAUUAAGUACUCCACCACAAAUUCCUUCCAUGCUAUCAAUUGUAUUGUGGAGGUGUGUGUAUUGGGGACCACAAGUACUCUACUCCCAGCUUAGUUGCAGUCUGAAAGCCCAUGGUGGCCAAAGGAAAUGCUACAAAGACACAUUGAAGACAUACCUCAACAAAACUGAUGCCAACAUCAGGAGCUAGGAGGACCUGGCUGCUAAGUGACUUCAAAGACAUUGCAAUUUCAGCCAAACAACAGCCAUUUUGAGGUAAAGCAUCUUUCCCUUGAAGCAGAGAAGAGAAUGAGGAGGAAGGAAAAGGAGAGAAAUCCUGGCUUACGGUGUACUCAUCCCUCCAGAAAGAUCUGCAACUUCUGUGGAUGUGGGUCAAAGACUGAGUCUUAAGUCACCUCAAGACUCAUCAAUAAAUCAUGGUAGAGGG